UAGCAGCUGAAUACGAAAAAGAAAUAUCUCCAGACUGGUGGGGUAACAAAUUUGGAUUUGUGUCUGGAGGAUUACUUGGAGCACAAUCCAAGAGAAAGAAGUCUAACAGCACAUCGGAAAUCACUCAAAAUAGUAACAAAAGGACUGCAUUUUAUGAAGAGGAUCAAGAGAAUCUUUACAAACUUGUACAAGAUAAAGCAACUUCUGGAAAACAGGGACUUGGUAUAAAGGAUCGCCCAAGGAAAAUAGCAGGGGUUCGCUUUCAAGGGACAAAAACGUCUUUUAGCGACAGUGAGAGGGAGGAGUCUGAGUCGGAAGAUGAUCAUUCUUUAAAAAAACAAAAAAUUGAUGAUGUGUCGGAAUCAAAAGUGAAGCUAAAGAAACUCUGUAGAAAGCUUCUUAGCCAAGUACCUGAGAAAUCAUUGAAGCUUAAAAAACUCAAAGCUCUAAUCGAUGAAAACUCUUCAAUUUUUUCCAAUUUCUCUUCAAAGAAGGAUUCUCUUGAAUUUUUGAGACAGAAGCUUGAACGCAGUGAAAAGUUUAUUGUGGAAGGGAAGAGAGUUAGUCUCUCAUCAAAAUGAGAACAAAUAUUUUUGGAGAAUUUCAAAGUGUAGAGUUUGCUAAGGCUUGUAAUCCUAUCGAGUUACACAAUUGGAUUUGUUAGCAGGUAAUUAAUAUUAUUAUUCUUAAGAGAAUAUAGAUUUGAAAAUUUUGAACACAUCCAUUUAGGGAAUUUUAAUGUGUCUUAUUUUAUUAUUAACAGUUGUACCC